AAAAAAUUAGUUAAACCAAUAACAUUAGUUUGUCAAGCUAAAAUUAUUAAUUAUGUUAAUAUUUUUUA
rnacentral:tRNA from 1 species